UUUUCCCUCUUUCCUUCUAUAAUCCACUAAAUGAAUAAUCUAACCUCACUCUGCAUUCAUGCUGAUCCGUGUCUCUGUCUAUCGUCCGUUACUAUGUGUCUGCCUGCCUGGGAACAGUCACCUUCAGAGACCUGCAGCAUGGUCCCGAGGCAUGCCCAUUUGUCUGUCUCUCCUCAUGACCUGCUGCAGUCACUCAGGGAACUUUGGUGUCCCUGCCUGGGACUGGCUUCUCUUGGGACCUGCUGAUCACUGCCUGUUGCCACAUGACCUGCUGCCACUGCUUGGGGACCUGUAGCAUUUCUGCCACUGCAGACACUCGGGGAUUCACAGCAUUUUUAAUUAAUCCACUAGAGUUUGAAUCUCACAUUCCAUUCUUCAAUCCAAACAGCUUUUUGUAGCACAAUCUAAUAGAUAAUAUCCAGAAGACUCGCGAAACAGGAACCCUGAAGUAUUCUUUCUCCUUGUUUAACUUUAUGUAUGAUUCACCUGGUACCUUAAAAAGACAGAUCACUAACACAGAGACAGAGACCUACAUUGGAGCACUGGACUGAGCUCCC